GUCAGUGGCAAUGGCCCCAAAGUAUAGUAUCCCGCCAGAUAAUUGUCUUUUGGAGAAGGCAGUCUGUGUUUAGGCCAACAAGAGGUUCUGUUCACGGUCAAGGUCUCUGAAUGUUAAACCGACUGUGCCUCAGGGAGGGGUGGCAUGGAGGUGGUUUCUCCCCUUCAGGGAUAUACAUCUAAUGGGUGCUGUGCCUUCCCUGGGGUUACCGUGGCCUUGACCUUUGAGCAGAUGACUCUGUCCAGGUUUUCUAAGCAGGGGCUUGGUGGAGUGGGGACAGGAUGGCUCCUGGAUCCUCGCUUUCCCCUCCCUGUGUCACACACUCUUCUUUCUAAGGCUGUAGCAGGGCUUCCAGUGACAGCAGAGAGGUCAGUGCUCACCCGACCCUUGGGGCCCCCGCCAGCUCACGACUGAAGAGGGUCCCUGGGGAAGCCCAGUAAACACCUGAAGUUCUGGGGGAUUUGGCUGAAUUGAAUCAGCGGCAAUUUUUUUCCUUUCCUCAUCACUCUUUAUUGGUAUGUUAAUAUUGCCUUGUGGUCAGAAUUUCUUCUCUGGAGGGAAAUUUAUAUGUAAAACCUAAUUCUUUAGAGGAGAGAUAUAAUAAUAAAAUAACCUUGACAUAUUUUU
rnacentral:lncRNA from 1 species